CCUACGGGGGGCAGCAGUGAGGAAUAUUGGUCAAUGGGCGCGAGCCUGAACCAGCCAAGUAGCGUGAAGGAUGACUGCCCUACGGGUUGUAAACUUCUUUUAUAAAGGAAUAAAGUGAGGCACGUGUGCCUUGUUGUAUGUACUUUAUGAAUAAGGAUCGGCUAACUCCGUGCCAGCAGCCGCGGUAAUACGGAGGAUCCGAGCGUUAUCCGGAUUUAUUGGGUUUAAAGGGAGCGUAGGUGGGUUGUUAAGUCAGUGGUGAAAGUUUGGGGCUCAACCGGAAAAUUGCAAUUGAUACUGGUAGUCUUGAGUACAGGUGAGGUAGGCGGAAUGUGUGGUGUAGCGGUGAAAUGCUUAGAUAUCAUACAGAACUCCGAUUGCGAAGGCAGCUUACCAAUCUGCAUCUGACGUUGAGGCUCGAAAGCGUGGGUAUCAAACAGGAUUAGAUACCCUGGUAGUC
rnacentral:rRNA from 1 species